UAGGGAGACCUACCCAUAGAGAAAUCGAAAGCAAAGAGCAAAGAGAUUCUCAAAUGGUCUACUCUAGGUCGGUCGAGACUGGUUAGUUAUCUUUCAAAGUAUUAUUAAAGCUCUGGUCAAACUCAGCAACUAGGAAGAACCUAGACUGCUGGGUGAAUACCAGCCAGAACCUUGAAAACUGCAUAGUAACGCGAGGCAGUCAGUAAAAAACUGACAAAGAAACCAACGUAAAAGCCGU
rnacentral:misc_RNA from 1 species